AGGGAUGUAACUCAGUGGGAGAGCAUUUGCUUAGCAAAUGCGUGCGCAAGGCCCUGGGUUCAAUCUCCAGCAUCCCCC
rnacentral:tRNA from 1 species